rnacentral:rRNA from 1 species
CCUACGGGAGGCAGCAGUGAGGAAUAUUGGUCAAUGGGCGCGAGCCUGAACCAGCCAAGUAGCGUGAAGGAUGACUGCCCUACGGGUUGUAAACUUCUUUUAUAAAGGCAUAAAGUGAGGCACGUGUGCCAUUUUGUAUGUACUUUAUGAAUAAGGCACGGCUAACUCCGUGCCAGCAGCCGCGGUAAUACGGAGGAACCGAGCGUUAUCCGGAUUUACUGGGUUUAAAGGGAGCGUAGAUGGGUUGUUAAGUCAGUUGUGAAAGUCUGCGGCUUAACCGUAAAAUUGCAAUUGAUACUGGCAGGCUUGAGUACAGUUGAGGAAGGCGGAAUUCGUGGUGUAGCGGUGAAAUGCGUAGAUAUCACGAAGAACUCCGAUUGCGAAGGCAGCUUACUAAACUGCCACUGACAUUGAUGCUCGAAAGUGUGGGUAUCAAACAGGAUUAGAUACCCGAGUAGUC